GUUCCCAAGAUUAUAACCUGCUUUAUGCAACCAUCAGAGCCAAAGAAACUUAACCAAAGGUUUAAAACUUACAUAAACAAAGAUUCUUUUAUUUACAACUCUGCUUCUCUGAUGAACAAGAAGCUGCAGCUUACACGUUUGAGGUGCCUUAUUCAUACUGGCUACUCAAUAUGUAAUUUUUUAAAAAAUCUGUUGGUCUUACAGUAUGGAAGCAAAAAUGAAUGGUGAUGUUGGUGAAUGCUAAGGGUAGAAGUAAGACAUAUCAAGAUUUAAAACAUAAAUAGCUUGGAACACCCUGAAGAGCAACAUGGGAGAAACUGAGAAAAGAAUUGAAACCCAUAGAAUAAGAUGUCUUUCCAAGUUGAAGAUGUUUCUGUUGGCAAUAACAUGUGCAUUUGUAUCCAAAACACUGUCUGGAUCUUAUAUGAAUUCCAUGCUCACACAAAUAGAGAGACAAUUCAACAUCCCAACAUCUCUAGUUGGAUUCAUUAAUGGAAGCUUUGAGAUUGGAAAUCUUUUGUUGAUUAUAUUUGUGAGUUAUUUUGGAACCAAACUGCAUAGACCUAUAAUGAUUGGCAUUGGAUGUGUGGUUAUGGGCUUAGGCUGUUUCUUAAAAUCACUACCUCAUUUCCUCAUGAACCAAUAUGAAUAUGAAUCUACAGUUUCAGUUUCAGGCAACUUGUCCUCAAACAGUUUCUUGUGUAUGGAAAAUGGAAC
rnacentral:lncRNA from 1 species